CUGUUAACAGGUAUUGCAAAGUGUUUGCUUAUUCUUUUGCAGUCAGCAAGAGAACAUGUCAGCUGUGAAAGUGAGGGAUCUGCCUGAAAAAAUGGUGCACAGUGAACAAAGAGAACCUGCAUAUACCCAUAGUGAGGAUAAUAUGGACAUUUCACCAGAAAAGAGUAGUUGUCUGUUUCCUAUAAAGGAAAUCACACCAUACACGACCAUUCUAGACCUUGUGGAUGCUUCCAGAAUUCCUGAGUUGAAACGUAAUUUACUGGACUUGUUAGAGAAAUUUGAUAUAAAUGAUCUCCCAUGCAUUACUGAAGAUAACUUGGAGGAGACUGCUGGUCUUAACUUUCAGAUAACUUCUAUCCAAGAUCAGACAGAUAGAACAUUUAUCUUGAAACGUGACACACUCUGGGCAAAGCACCUACUACUGCAUGAAGAGAAAGAACUAUUUACUAUUAAAUUACACAGGGUACACAAGGUACCGAAGAAUGCAGUCACUGUGCAAGUGCUGGACCAGAACCUGUACCUGUCAUCCAUACCGGACCCAUCCGGAUAUGUGCAACUGUUGUCCCCAGGAGAGAAGAUUCCUGACUUCAAUGAUCCUGAAACAAGUAAAUUCUUUUUCUACCUUGAGAAUACUGACGAGGACCUAUACUCCUUUGAGUCAUCCACAAACUCAAACUGCUUCAUUAGCACUCCGGCAGAAAUGAAUGAUCGUGUAACCAUACAGCCCAUAUCAAAGAAAGACAUAUAUCAUAUGGACUUUAAAGUCGAUCAACAGAUCAUUAUCCCGACCAGCCGGUUAACAUUAAGGCUGUCUUUGACACAAAAGGCAAACAUAACUGAUCUGUGGAUAAAAGUAAUCCGCCACAAUGUCUUCCAUGAAAAAUCAUUAGUAGCGGAAGAAGAUUUUGCUACGCCUGUAAAUGCCUUGACUUCAACACCAGAGUCUCCAAGCACAUAGCCUAGAAAAGGUAUCCCUGCAAAAGGAAUGAAACCACAAUUAUAAUGAACGAUAGCGGAAUGGAAAACAAUGGAUAACAGUCUCCAGCCAACAAGUACACAUGGAAGAUUCACCAGAUUCUCACCACAGAGACCUCACUCAUCACUGCACAGCAUGUAAUAUGGAAACAAACACAGUGGUAGCUGCUCAAUCACUCUGGAGAUACUUCAGGUGCUAGAAAAGGGGAGGGGUCACAGCAAACAGAGAGGGGGGGGGGUGCUUUUCCCACCCUGGUAUCCCCCCAGCACACUGACUAAUACCCGCAACAAUACCUGAACCUAUCUGGCCAUAGAAUUUCAGAGAUAUUUGUUACAUGA